ACUCCUACGGGAGGCAGCAGUGGGAAUAUUGCACAAUGGGAAGGCCAUCGAUGCAGCCAUGCCGCGCUGUGUGAAGAAGGCCAAUUCGGGCUUGGUUGAAUGACACUUUCAGUAGGGAGGAAGGUAGUGUAGUUAACACCUGCACUAUUUGACGUUACCUACAGAAGAAGCACCGGCUAACUCCGUGCCAGCAGCCGCGGUAAUACGGAGGGUGCGAGCGUUAAUCGGAAUUACUGGGCGUAAAGCGCAUGCAGGCGGCCUGUUAAGUCAGAUGUGAAAG
rnacentral:rRNA from 1 species